UGUAAGUCGCUCCCCAACAACCCAAGCCCAUUGUCCACCUCUCACGCCACACACAAACCUAACAAAAAUCCCCGCCGCCGCCACCACCACCACCAGGCACCACCACCGUACUCUUGGCCGAUAUUGUCACGCCGCUGCCCCUCCCACCCCGGGUGACGCCUCCCGAAGCUCCCGUCCAGCUGCGCUUCCCCAGCCUAAGGUGCCGCCCGGCUGUCCACUAACCUAGCGGCGGCUGUCGCCCACUGGUUCCCUGGCAUCGCCCCUAACCUGCCAGUUGAUUUGCUCGCGCCGUCGCGUCCUCCGACCGUGAUCUGCCUCGAGCCGCCACCUCCCCAGACCACAACCUACCUCGCGCCGCGACGGCCUCUAGCCACAACCUGCCUCCCGCCCCCACGACCUCCGAGGGGCCGCCCCACAGGCUGCAGCUUAGGAGACUCUCCGCUGUCCCUCUUCCACCACCGGCAACGUCUUCCCCACCCUCUCUGUCCUACCCUGUUUCCAAAUUUGGUUUUUGCAGGCUAUGGUGUGGCUGUCUAUUACUCAAGAUGAUUCCAUAUCAUAUCAUCAACUUUAGGAACCUUAUCUCAGCUGUCGUGGAUUUCAGAACAGAUCGUUGGCAUUGUUGCUUCAAGGGACAUGUAUGUUGCCUGUCCUUUUGCCUACUGAGCACACAAAACAAAUGUGUCUAUAAAUAUAUUUAAGUGAAACAACAUGCUCCCAUUUUUGGUCAAUCGGUAGAUCUGACUAAUACAUAAUUACAUAUAUUAUUCAGUCAUUUUUCAUAAUUUGAGUAAGCUGAAACUGAUGGUCUCAGAUGGUUUGUGUAUUAACUUUGAUAAGAACCUGCAUCUACAAAUACUGAGUAGAGGGUUGCCUUUUGUGCAUGAAUUUGUAGCAGGUGUGAUCUCUUGCCUGUGCUCUCCACUUGUCCUCACUCCUUGGGCCUUCCCUUUGCUUAUCACCAUACAUUUUAUACAGAGCGGUGUCACGAUGCAUCUCCUCUGCCUAGAUGAUGGACAGAGGGCCUAAGCUCUAGUUGGAGAUUAUUUGAAUGAUUCAGUUUUGGGGGAAGAAAGCGAGGGCCGUCGAGAAGGGGGGCCAAAGUGGGCGACCACCCAGGACCCCCAAUUCUAGGGGCCCCCAAAUCGCUGUUAUGUAUCAGGAUGAAAAAGGCCCAGCUUACCUGGAUCAUCCCUGAUGGCCUUGGCAUCAUUACAAGGAAGACAAGCUUUUCGACUCCAUCUGUAUGUGCCAGGAAAGGUGAAUCUCAGAGAUUUGUCUUGUAGACUGGUGGCAUGAUGCUACAACCAGUGUUCAAGGGGACAUGGUAAAAAGUAGCAAAUUCACGAGUUGAUGGAAGAUGUUAUCGUGAUCGCUCUUGUUCAGAACAUGGUUGACACAUUUUGUCAUAUGGAAGUUGAUGUUUGCUUGGCUGCUUUGUACCUAGGAUAUUAGCAAGCAGAAGGGCAGAAACGUAUAUGGGUCAAAUGGCAGAAAGUAAUCCCACAAGAUGAUAUAUGAUGUUCUGCUGAUCACUUUUGUUCAUAACAUGGUCGACACAUUUUCGUCAUAUGGAAGUUGAUGUUGACUUGGUGAUCAAAGACUUGGCCCCUUCCAUACUACCCCCUCCCCCCUCCUAAAAUAAGUGUCUUUGGGACGGAGGUAGUAUUUUGUAGCAGUCAAGUGAAAGAACAAUUGGUUUCUUAGGAACUUGAUCAUCAUAUUUUGUAACAGGCCACAUCCUACAUGUCAAACUUGUGUAUUUCCUAAAUGGUUGUAGAUAACUUGAGUGAAGAAAAUUAAUGGAUCUUCUAUAUAUGUUGAA